UACGGGGGGAGCAAGCGUUGUUCGGAUUUACUGGGCGUAAAGGGCGCGUAGGCGGCCACCGCAAGUCGACUGUGAAAUCUCCGGGCUUAACCCGGAAAGGUCAGCCGAUACUGCGGGGCUAGAGUGCAGAAGGGGCAACUGGAAUUCCCGGUGUAGCGGUGAAAUGCGCAGAUAUCGGGAGGAACAUCGGUGGCGAAGGCGGUUCUCUGGGCCUUACCUGACGCUGAGGAGCGAAAGCGUGGGGAGCGAACAGG
rnacentral:rRNA from 1 species